CUUGAAACACGGACCAAGGAGUUUNUAGNGUNCACGAGUCAUUGGGUGAAUAAAACCCAAAGGGGAAAUGAAAGUAAAGAGUUGAGCAUAAUUAAAGAGAAUUUAUUUUUUUUUUUUGUGUUCCYCUUAAGGGAAGAUAGAAAUUGCGUUAAUAAUAUUGUACUUGUUAUAAUUAUUUUUUUAAUGUUAAUUUCUCGCACUCCCAGGGCGCUUGUUUAACGCUUGCGUGACAAUGCGCACCCAGAGCGUACACGAUGAUACCCGAAAGAUGGUGAACUAUGCCUGGCCAGGACGAAGCCAGGGGAAACCCUGGUGGAGGUCCGCAGCGAUUCUGACGUGCAAAUCGAUCGUCGGAGCUGGGUAUAGGGGCGAAAGACCAAUCGAACCAUCUAGUAGCUGGUUCCCUCUGAAGUUUCCCUCAGGAUA
rnacentral:rRNA from 1 species